GACGAACGCUGGCGGCGUGCUUAACACAUGCAAGUCGAGCGGUAAGGCCCUUUCGGGGGUACACGAGCGGCGAACGGGUGAGUAACACGUGGGUGACCUGCCCUCAGCUCUGGGAUAAGCCUGGGAAACCGGGUCUAAUACUGGAUAUGACUCCAUGACGCAUGUUGGUGGGGUGGAAAGCCUUGUGCGGCUGAGGAUGGGCCCGCGGCCUAUCAGCUUGUUGGUGGGGUGANGGCCUACCAAGGCGACGACGGGUAGCCGGCCUGAGAGGGCGACCGGCCACACUGGGACUGAGACACGGCCCAGACUCCUACGGGAGGCAGCAGGUGGGGAAUCUUGCGCAAUGGGCGAAAGCCUGACGCAGCGACGCCGCGUGAGGGAUGACGGCCUGG
rnacentral:rRNA from 1 species